GAUGAACGCUGGCGGCGUGCCUAGUACAUGCAAGUCGAGCGAACAGACGAGGAGCUUGCUCCUCUGACGUUAGCGGCGGACGGGUGAGUAACACGUGGAUAACCUACCUAUAAGACUGGGAUAACUUCGGGAAACCGGAGCUAAUACCGGAUAAUAUAUUGAACCGCAUGGUUCAAUAGUGAAAGACGGUUUUGCUGUCACUUAUAGAUGGAUCCGCGCCGCAUUAGCUAGUUGGUAAGGUAACGGCUUACCAAGGCAACGAUGCGUAGCCGACCUGAGAGGGUGAUCGGCCACACGGGAACUGAGACACGGUCCAGACCCCUACGGGAGGCAGCAGUAGGGAAUCUUCCGCAAUGGGCGAAAGCCUGACGGAGCAACGCCGGGGGAGUGAUGAAGGGUUGCGGAUCGUAAAACUCUGUUAUUAGGGAAGAAAAAAUGUGUAAGUAACUAUGCACGUUUUGACGGUACCAAAUCAGAAAGCCACGGCUAACUACGU
rnacentral:rRNA from 1 species